GAAGGUUAACAGUGAAAAGAAAGGAACCAAGGGGAUUGAAGGGGACGGCUGGAUAAAAAAGGGAUUGAAAAUCCGGGGCUGAAAAAAAAGGGAAAGGGGAUAGAUAGAGUGAGAGAAGGAUAGCUGAGGGAGUUUCGAGAGGAAGCUAAGAGUGGAGUUUAUGAUGGCUGGAUGAUAGGAAGGGAGAAAUCUGAGAGCAAAAGAAAAGAAAAGGGGCGCCGCAAGAGGAAAAGAGAUGAGGAAGGGGAAGAUCGGACAUCGGGCUAGAUAAAAACAGCAGCGAGAGGAAAAGAAAAACACUAGAGGGCUUGAAGGCUGAGAAAGCUUGAAGGAGGAGGAGAACCAAGAAGGUCACGGCUGGGCAAAGCUUUGAGGUCUCUGGUCAAAUCAAAAAGAACGAAGAGGGUUGCUACUCAAGUUUUUGCCGAUAAAAUUCAUCAGAAAAACAACGCUGUAAGGUUCUUUCUUGACUUUAUCCUAUGGACAAUCUUUGUUACUAAAUCUGUGUCUAUGAAAUCAGGGGUUUACUUGGUGUUUUUGAUUGUCUCUCUUGAUUUUGAGUCCGUGAGCAUGGAAAAGUCUGGAUUACAGUAGCUAUUUCCUUACCGAUAGUCGUAAAGCUGCGAUCUUUUGUUCCUAGGUUACGGGAUAUACUUUGUUGGGUUCCAAAUCUGUUCGACGUUGUUAUUUUGUUCCUGGACUGCAUUUUAGUAGCAAGAUGUCAUCUUUGAAAGGAAAGGGCAUUUAUACGACCAGCUCCUCUGAAAAUGUAUCUAAGUUCAUGCGCUGCAAUUUGCAAAAAGAAACCCAGCAACCAGAAAUCUUGCAAUAAAGUGUAAUAUUUGGCUUGUUUGAUGAUUGGGGUUGCAUCUUGUGGUUGUUUUGGGUUCAAAGUUGAUGUUUUGUUGGUAAUGUUUCACAGCAAGUUGUAGGAAAAAUUCCUGCUGCAUUUUUCCCAUUCUUUUGCUGUUUAGCUCCUUUUAUCCCUGUCGGUCUGCUUAGACUUCUUGCUUUAAAACUGCAACAAAAUUUAGCUAUUGUUUUAGUUGAUAGCUGAGAGUUAAAUCCAGAUAUCUAGUGAACCUGUUUGCCUGAUGAGAUGGAGAGAAAGUCAUGGCAGAAAUGGUGUAGGAAUCUUAAAAAAAGUUGCAGCAGCCUUUUGUUUUUUUUUUCCUUCUUUUUUUCUUUACAUGUUUUGCAUGAUUUUCCAGAAUUUGGCAUGAAUGUUUGCUGGAAAAUGCAGAGCAGGAUUGUCGAGCCAUUUUGCAUUGAAUUCUCCAGCAUUUGCAUGUUUUUUCCUUUUUUUUCUGGUUUGAAAUACGCAUGGCUCAAAGCUGCCAAAGUUUGCGGCAGAAAUUUGCAGAUUCCAGCUUUCAUUCGCAGCUCAAAGUAAAGAAAAGAAUGGUCCUUCUACGUAUACAUGCAUGAAAUCAAAAGGAAAAAUUACAUUUUUGCCCCCCCAAGCUGCUAUAAUUCAUUCAAUUGGGUCCCUGUUCUUGUUACAUCUAAACCCUUCAAGUUGCCCUUUGUUCUGCAUUGGCCCAGAGAAUUAGAUAAUUUAACCAAAUUUUGUCCUUUUAAAUGUUUCCUUCUUUAAUGCGAUUUUUGGUGACUUUGGAUAGAUUAAUUUUGGGGUUUAAUGCAUAAUAAGAGGUUAGCAAUUUUUAGUUGGGUUUUAUCUUGUUGGACUUUUCAUAAAAAUAAAAUUUGGUUUGAUUUGGAUUUUUUUUUUUUUUGUUUGGGCUCAAGCAAGUGGUUUUAGUUUAUUUUGUUGGGUUUCUGACGCAGGUUUAGGAAGAUAGAGCCCAACACUUUUUGUUGGGUUUUAGAAUUGGGUUUGUGAUUUAAUUGGAUCAUUCUUAGGAUCAGAAUAUUAGACUAGCCCAUUUGCUUUGCUUGGUUUUCUGUUGGGCCAAGUGAGUCUGGUCCAAACAAAUAAAAUGGCCCAACAGUUUGCUUGAUUAAAAAUCUGAUAAUUGAAGUUGCGAAUCAGUCCCUGAAUUUCUCUUUAAUUGUACUAUGGCCCUGAAUAUUUUCAACCUCUUUCAAUUGGGUCCUUAUUUUAAUUGCACAUAAGUCCUUGGACUUUAUUUUUUCUUUAAAUCUGGCCCCAAAUUUUGUCAAUCUUUGCAAUCAAGUCCUUUCUUCUUUUGACUUCUU
rnacentral:lncRNA from 1 species